GACGAACGCUGGCGGCGUGCUUAACACAUGCAAGUCAACGGUAAGGCCCUUCGGGGUACACGAGUGGCGAACGGGUGAGUAACACGUGGGUGAUCUGCCCUGCACUUCGGGAUAAGCCUGGGAAACUGGGUCUAAUACCGGAUAGGCCCACUGCCUGCAUGGGUGGUGGUGGAAAGCUUUUGCGGUGUGGGAUGGGCCCGCGGCCUAUCAGCUUGUUGGUGGGGCGAUGGCCUACCAAGGCGACGACGGGUAGCCGGCCUGAGAGGGUGACCGGCCACACUGGGACUGAGAUACGGCCCAGACUCCUACGGGAGGCAGCAGUGGGGAAUAUUGCACAAUGGGCGCAAGCCUGAUGCAGCGACGCCGCGUGAGGGAUGACGGCCUUCGGGUUGUAAACCUCUUUCAGCACCGACGAAGCGCAAGUGACGGUAGGUGCAGAAGAAGGACCGGCCAACUACGUGCCAGCAGCCGCGGUAA
rnacentral:rRNA from 1 species